GACAGAGGUUGCAAGCGUUGCUCGGAAUUACUGGGCGUAAAGCGCACGUAGGCGGCUCUUUAAGUCGGGGGUGAAAUCCUGGAGCUCAACUCCAGAACUGCCUUCGAUACUGUAGAGCUUGAGUUCGGGAGAGGUGAGUGGAACUGCGAGUGUAGAGGUGAAAUUCGUAGAUAUUCGGAAGAACACCAGUGGCGAAGGCGACUCACUGGACACAUAUUGACGCUGAGGUGCGAAAGCGUGGGGAGCAAACAGG
rnacentral:rRNA from 1 species